rnacentral:ribozyme from 1 species
AAAUAAAAAAAAAAAAAAAAAAAAACGAUAGUCAGCUCUAUUUUCGUAUCAUUUGAUCGCGACCUUUGUGCAUUUUCUGGUCUUUUUCUUCAUCUUGACUUUUAUAGAAGAGAAUUGCGAAGGAAGG